rnacentral:rRNA from 1 species
GUGUCAGCCGCCGCGGUAAUACGUAGGGAGCAAGCGUUGUUCGGAAUUAUUGGGCGUAAAGAGCGCGUAGGCGGUCUAGUAAGUCCGAUGUGAAAUCCCAGAGCUUAACUCUGGAACUGCAUUGGAAACUGCUAGGCUUGAGUGCGGGAGAGGUGAGUGGAAUUCCCAGUGUAGAGGUGAAAUUCGUAGAUAUUGGGAGGAACACCGGUGGCGAAGGCGGCUCACUGGACCGCAACUGACGCUGAGGCGCGAAAGCUCGGGGAGCAAACGGGAUUAGAAACCCUGGUAGUCC